rnacentral:rRNA from 1 species
AUUGAACGCUGGCGGCAGGCCUAACACCUGCAAGUCGAGCGAGCGGCGGACGUGUGAGUAAUGUCUGGGUAACUGCCUGAUUGAGGGGGAUACCUACUGGAAACGGUAGCUAAUACCGAAUACCCUCAGAUGUGCCCAGAUGGGAUUAGCUAGUAGGUGGGUUAACGGCUCACCUAGGCGACGAUCCCUAGCUGGUCUGAGAGGAUGACCAGCCACACUGGAACUGAGACACGGUCCAGACUCCGACGGGAGGCAGCAGUGGGGAAUAUUGCACAAUGGGCGCAAGCCUGAUGCAGCCAUGCCGCGUGUGUGAAGAAGGCCUUCGGGUUGUAAAGCACUUUCAGCGGGGAGGCGUUACCCGCAGAAGAAGCACAGGCUAACUCCGUGCCAGCAGCCGCGGUAAUUC